UACGUAGGGUGCGAGCGUUGUCCGGAAUUACUGGGCGUAAAGAGCGUGUAGGCGGCCUGAAAGGUCAGCUGUGAAAACUCGAGGCUCAACCUCGAGACGUCGGUUGAAACCAUCUGGCUAGAGUCCGGAAGAGGAGUGUGGAAUUCCCGGUGUAGCGGUGAAAUGCGCAGAUAUCGGGAAGAACACCCGUGGCGAAGGCGGCACUCUGGGACGGUACUGACGCUGAGACGCGAAAGCGUGGGGAGCGAACAGG
rnacentral:rRNA from 1 species